rnacentral:rRNA from 1 species
UUCACUUCGGUGAAUUGAUCAGUCUCACAGGAAGUCACGGCUAACUUCGUGCCAGCAGCCGCGGUAAGACGAAGGUGGCAAGCGUUGUUCGGUGUUACUGGGCUUAAAGCGUGUGUAGGCGGAAAGGUAAGCGUCUUGUGAAAUCCCCGGGCUUAACCCGGGAAUUGCUUGGCGAACUGCUUUUCUUGAGGCAAGUAGGGGUGCAUGGAACUCUUGGUGGAGCGGUGGAAUGCGUAGAUAUCAAGAGGAACGCCGAUGGAGAAAUCAGUGCACUGGGCUUGUCCUGACGCUGAGACAUGAAAGCGUGGGGAGCGAACGGGAUUAGAUACCCCGGUAGUCCACGCUGUAAACGAUGUCUACUAGGUUGCGGAGGUUCUGACACUUUCGCGACCGAAGCAAAAGUGUUAAGUAGACCGCCUGGGGAGUACGGUCGCAAGGCUAAAACUCAAAGGAAUUGACGGGGGCUCACACAAGCGGUGGAGCAUGUGGAUUAAUUCGAAGCAACGCGUAGAACCUUACCUGGGUUUGACAUGCUUGGAUGCCAUCCUGGAAACAGGGGAAGCUGCCCUUCGGGGUGAAACUUGCACAGGUGCUGCAUGGCUGUCGUCAGCUCGUGUCGUGAGAUGUCGGGUUAAGUCCUUUAACGAGCGAAACCCUUGCCGUUAGUUACCAGCGGGUCAUGCCGGGAACUCUAGCGGGACUGCCGGUGUUAAACCGGAGGAAGGUGNNGACGACGUCAAGUCAUCAUGNCCUUUAUGUCCAGGGCUUCACACGUGCUACAAUGGCGGCUAACAAAGCG